rnacentral:lncRNA from 1 species
UUGAGAUAGAGGGAGUAGAAUUUUACAAUGUGUUAAAAAAAACAUAGAAUGAAGAACAAACGGAGAAUGAGAUUCGAUCUUUUAGAUUAGCAUUUUUUUAAAGGACUAAACUUAUGUACAAUUGCUUAUAUGCUGUUAGAACUGUUUUCCAUUCAUGAUAUAACAUGUGGAGUUAAUCUCCCAUUUUUGGAAAAAUAAAUGUACGACACAGUCAUGUUUUGGUAGAGGAUCUGAAUGUGACGUUAAGUUUUAGACAGAUAUCAC